UACGUAGGGUGCAGGCGUUAAUCGGAAUUACUGGGCGUAAAGCGUGCGCAGGCGGUUUCUUAAGUCAGAUGUGAAAGCCCCGGGCUUAACCUGGGAACUGCGUCUGAUACUGGGGGGCUUGAGUAUGGGAGAGGGAUGUAGAAUUCCAGGUGUAGCGGUGAAAUGCGUAGAUAUCUGGAGGAAUACCGGUGGCGAAGGCGGCAUCCUGGACCAUAACUGACGCUGAGGCGCGAAAGCUAGGGGAGCAAACGGG
rnacentral:rRNA from 1 species